AGGGUAUCCUGCUCGCGCGCACGCCGCUGCCGCCGUCCUUCCACUAGCCGAGACCUCCCUCCCCUAUGGAGACCAACGUGCAGUUGUGUGUUGGGACCGACACUAUCGUCGCCAAGCCGGAGAUCAAGAAGCUGUAGUCCAGCAUCCAGGCGCGGGCGGGCCCCAAGAUUGCAGGGUGCCGCGUGAUCAAGGUGGAGGCGCACCAGAUCCCGGAGCACCCGCGCCCGUGCUGCGUAGCCCUGGUCGGCGACGCGGCGGGGUACGUGACCGUGACCCGGUGCUCCGGUGAGGGCAUCUACCUCACGGCCAAGUCCGGGCAGCUUUGCGUGUAGGCGAUGAGCGAUGGCCAAGGAACGGCGGCUGAAGAUCGUGGUGGCGGAGGCCGGGAUCAGGCGCGGGUACCUGCGGCGGUGGGACGAUGAGUUCAUGCUGACGUUCAGAAUCUUGGACGCGAGACGCUGGUGGUCGGCUGGGGCGGACGUUCGACUGCCACCUGCACAAGCGGAUGGUGCCUGGCGAGCCGUGGGCCGACCUCCAGCUGGUGUGGCGCACCACAGGCAGCAUGGUUCGAUACAACAUCCUCGGCAAGGAGGCCCAGCGGCUCCAGCAGCUCGAGUUGCUGCGGGCUUAGAAAAAUUCCUUCCAUUCUCUUUCUGCAGACCGCCGAUACAGUACUGAAUAAUGAGGUGAACCACCAGUCCACCAUGGAGCACCAUUUGAUCUGCGGCUGCUACUUUGCAAUCUUUGCAACCAGUCUUCCCUGCGAAAUGACCGACUUGCCACACAAGUCGUGCUCGUGCUGACAUGGCGCUGCCGCUGGUUAAUUCCUUGUGUUGGAGAGGCCUAGAAGUUGGGCAUCUACAGCUGCUUGUCAGUCUGAACUCUGAAGGUUGUUCUGACGAAUGAUAUGAACACUUCUUUCAAGAGGAUACACUGAUAAGCAAUGAAACCUGAUUUUUCAUAUCUAUGGAGGAUCCUUCCCUAUGAGCUGAUAUGAUUAGUGGAUAUCUAAAAUUAAUGGAUCAUAUAUCAGUCGUCAUAUCUGAAUGUGCAUGCACGUGCACUAUCAACAGCGAGGCCACAAACGAUGCAGUGGCCUGGAGGCGGCCCUUGUCUGAAUUGUUGUGGAUAUGCUGCACUUCACAGUGUUUUCUUCUACCACAGUAACAUGAAUAUAUGAUCAAUGUAUCCAUGAGGAAUUGCAGGUUUUCGUCGCCACAAAGGUGCACACAUAUUGUUAAGGCAUUGAUGGUUUUGUAGCUUCAGCUAUAAGACGACUAAGACAAUUCUCAACUUUUAUCUUAAUUAUAGUUGAUCGGUACCAAUAUUUGUUUGGACAAGAUGGUGACAUUUUUCUACUUUUUACACUACAUUCAUACUCACGUAGAUGGACAUAGAGAAAAUCUGCCUGGUGAAAAUGUGCCUUUUAGUGGAGUGCAUUUUCCCAGAUAUGUGUUCUUGUUGUAUGGUAAACUAAACUUUUAUUGUAACUUCUACCUAUCCUUGACAAUUGCAGAAUAUUUCCUCUGGAAAAAACCUUGAUAUGUUUCACAUUA